AUUGAACGCUGGCGGCAGGCUUAACACAUGCAAGUCGAGCGGAGACUUCGGUCUUAGCGGCGAACGGGUGAGGAAUGCCUGGGAAUCUGCCUGUUAGUGGGGGAUAACGUUCCGAAAGGAACGCUAAUACCGCAUACGUCCUACGGGAGAAAGCAGGGGACCUUCGGGCCUUGCGCUAACAGAUGAGCCCAGGUCGGAUUAGCUAGUUGGUGGGGUAAAGGCUCACCAAGGCGACGAUCCGUAGCUGGUCUGAGAGGAUGAUCAGCCACACUGGAACUGAGACACGGUCCAGACUCCUACGGGAGGCAGCAGUGGGGAAUAUUGGACAAUGGCGAAAGCCUGAUCCAGCCAUGCCGCGUGUGUGAAGAAGGCCUCGGUGUAAGACACUUUAAGUACGGGGAGGGAAGGUAACGUUAGGGGUCGUAAGUACCCCUACG
rnacentral:rRNA from 1 species